AUGGGGUCCCAGGCUCAGUUUCUCUGUCUUCUGGUACUCUGCAUCGCAGAUGCCAGUGGACAACAGAUUGGGGUGACACAAUCUCCAGCCUCCCUCUCUGCAUCUUUAGGAGACACAGUCACUAUUAAUUGUAAGACAAGUCAAGGUGUCAGUAGCUAUGUAAACUGGUACCAACAGAAACCCAGACAGAUUCCUAAACUCAUAAUCAGUACUAUUUCCACCCUCCAGCCUGGGGUCCCUGCCCGGUUCAGUGGCAGUGGUUCCAGCACAGAUUUCUCCCUCACAAUCAGCAGUGUGGAGGCCAAGGAUGCUGCAGUCUAUUACUGCCAGCAGGGUUAUAGCUUAUUCCCACAGUGCUCCAGCUUCGAACAUAAACCACCCCCCUCCACAGGUCAGAUAAAACGUUAA